rnacentral:hammerhead_ribozyme from 1 species
CUGACGAGUCUCAAAUAGGAGGAAACGCGCGUC